rnacentral:lncRNA from 1 species
GAGGUAGAACCUGUCACUGAAUCAGGGUUCAUCAAUUUGAUCAGGCGAGCUGGACAGCGAGCACCAAGGACCACCACCUGCUUCCCUAGAUGGCGUCCUAUGAGGGUGCUGUGUUCCCAAACUCAGGUUCCCAUGUCUGCACAGCAGCUUCCACAGAUGGGUGGAUGGAGAGGCCUCAGGAUCAGAGAUGAGAGAACAGAAGUCAUCAUUACAGAUUUCUCCAAGCAACCGGGCCACGGUGAAUAAUUUAUGUACAAGGUGGAGAAGACAAUAAAUCAG